rnacentral:rRNA from 1 species
CUCACAGAUUAAGCCAUGCAAGUGGGUAUAUACUAUAUAGUUUAAAUUAGAUCAUUUACAUAUAGUAGUAAUAAAGUAAAAAAUAAAUAAUACAACUGCAGACAGCUGAUUAAUACAGUUACACUUGUCUUGACUUAUAAAAGUAAAGUAAAAGUAAAGUACACAGUACACAGUACACAUAAAUAAAUAGUUUAUAUGAUAACUAUUUUUAAGGAAACUUUGGCUAAUACGUAUAUUAAAAUAAUAAAAUAUAUAAUAAGUGUAUAUAAUUACACAUUAUAUAUAAAAUAAGUAUAUAGUGAUAUAAGGGAAAACACUAUAAUUAAACUGACUUAAUAUUUAUUAAGCAUGUCAUACAAGCAUCUAUUAGCAUCAAGUCACAGGGUUGGCAUGUUUAUAUUUGAACCUUCAAAGCAAUAACGUAUACGGAAGAGUUGUUUCUGAUCCCACAGAAGGAGCACGGUACAAUGAGAGACAGCUCUUAGAUCUAAGGAAUGCAGCAGGCACGUAACUUAUCCAAUAAUAAUAAUAGUUUGGAUUUAUAAUAUACAAUAUAUAUACUUACAAUAUAUAAAACUGUUGUUUUAAAAUCUUUUUUUUGAGAUAGUAACAAACAGUAACUGUUGAAUAUGAUGAAUAUAUUAAGUCUAUUGUGUUUUGCACUUGUAUAGACUGUUACAAUAUAUAUUAACUCAAUUGGAAUGCGGUGAGUUUAAAUUAUUCAGACUCCUUAUUUUUAUAAGAUUACUGAAAUUUAAAGGGGUGGGAAAGUCUGGUGCCAGCAGCCGCGGUAAUACCAGCNCCUCUAGCCUAUACAAUCAUUGUUGCGGUUAAGAGGUUCGUAGUUGGAUUGAUGUAAUAAGAGAUAUAAUAUAAUAUAAUAUAAUAUAUAUAAUAAUAUUAUAUGUAUAUAUAUAUAAUAAUACUUUGUGAAUAAACCACAGUGUAUAAAACAAGCUAUUUAUAAGCUUUGAAUGUACUUUCAUGAGAAGUACUUACAAUAUAAAUCUUUUAAAUUUGAUUUAUAUUAUAAUAUGGGGAUAGUUGGAGACAAGGAUAUUAUAAUGCGAGUGGUGAAAUGCACUGAUCCUAAUAGGAUCAACAAUAGCGCAAGCAUUUGGCUAGGCUAUAUUUUUUGUAUUUAAAUAUAUUAUAUAUUUAUAUAUAAUAUUAAAAUAAUAACUUUACAAUGAAGAGCGAAGGUUAAGGAAUCAAAGUGGAUCAGAUACCCACGUAGUCUUAUUUUAUUUUACAUUAAACGAUGUAAUCUAAUAUGCCUAUUUAAAAAGUGAACCUUAAUCACUUAAUAUGACUUUGAGUAUAUAUUGUACUCGGUCGAAAUAUAUAUAUAUAUAUAUAAUUAUAUCANUUUAUUUACUGAGAAUAAUAAUAUAAUAAAAUAUUGUGAGACUGUCGAGCUUUGAGCUCAACAUAUCACUGUUGGUAAGAUGCGUUAUCACACACUUGUGAAUUUUUAUUCACUUGUGUUGUAAGUUCACGCUUUNGGCGAAUGCUUACUGCAGAAAUGUUUGAGAUAUUAUUCUCCUGGGGAAGUAUGCACGCAAGUAUGAAACUUGAAGGAAUUGACGGAAGGGCACCACCAGAACGCGUGGAGCAUGUGGCUUAAUUUGACUCAACACAGAGAAUCUUACCAGGUCAGGACAUAUUGAGGAUUGACAGUUACAGAAUAUCUCUUAUAUUAUUUAUAAUAUAAGGUAAGAUAGUGUAUAGAAUGAUAGUUCUUUCAUGAUUAUGUGAUAAGUAGUGCAUGGCCGUUGUUAGUUCGUGGAAUAAUCUGUCUGCUUAAUUGCGUACCUAAUAAACUAAUAAUGUUUAGGUUAUAUAUUCUAUAACCUUAUUAAUACAUUGUUUAUAUAUAUAUAUCUGCAACGAACGUGAUCGUAGCCUUUAGUUAAAGAGAUUAUAAAGAUAUUUUAUAUAUCUUUUUAACUAUAAUUUAUAAAUUAACUAAAGGGACCACUGUGAAUAAAACUAAUUAAACCAGAGUAAGAUUACGGCAAUAACAGGUCUGUGAUGCUCUUAGAUGUUCUGGGCUGCACACGUGCUACAAUGAUAAUAAUAAAUAGCACUAUAUAUAAUUAAAAUUUUAUUUUAAUUAUAAAAUAAUGAGAAUUAGUAAUAAUAUAAAAUAUUAUUAAGGUAGGAACAGACUAUUGUUAAUUAUUAGUCUCAUUUUUAACUAGGAAUGCCUUGUAUAAUUAUAAGAUAAUGUAUAUGUAUUUAUCUUUUUUAUAAAGAUAUUUACUUACUAUAAAGGAAACUAAGUAGAAUAUGUCCCUGCCCUUUGUACACACCGCCCGUCGCUCUUACCAAUGAAUUUCUAUAUGAGUAUAAGGGAUAAUAUGUAUAUAAUAACAUAUAUAUAAAAUAAUAAUUUGAUCAUUAAACUAAUACGAAUAUAAUUAUUUAAAGGAAAGAGAAGUCGUAACAAGGCAUCAGUAGGUGAACCU